AGAGGCUAGCCACACUUCCCUUUGCCCUGCGAGUUUGACAGGCGCCAUGUGGAACUGGGGGUGGGGGGGUAACAUGCAGACAAGGCCUCCUCUUCUUUAGGCUUAUUUAUUUUGUGAGAGCAGAGGCCUCUCCCUUCUCAUUGCUGCCCCUGCUGUCUCCUCCUGUCCCCUGUAGCCUGCCCAUCCCAGCCCCUGCCAUCGGGGAUCUGCUGCAGUAACAAGCCUGUUUUCUAGCAAGACCAGUCGGGAGUGGGGGACACAGGCAGCAAUGGGCAUUGGAGUCUGGCAUCCUGUGGCCCGUCCCAGUGCCAGGGCUCUCUCUAGGGUGAACCCAGGGCCCGUGGCUUCCUCUUUGUCCUUGCCGUUGCUGUAUGCAAGACAGAGCUAUCUAUCACUCCUACCUUCCAGAGUCACCAAGUCCCUGGAGAAUACGAGGGCACAGUCUGAGCCCAAGAAGUUGCUUGAAGCUCCUCCUCAUGUCCUGCCCUGCUGGGGGUUUGGGGGGGCAGGAGAACAAGCCUUUAUAGCCAACUGUCCCAUGGGCCAGACCCCAUGCUGCUGGCGGAACCUCUCUAGUUGCCCGGCCCUGGCCAGUUUCUACUAGGCUUCAUCAGGAGGCUACUUAUACUGCUGAGAGCUGGGGCGGUUGGGAUGGGAGUGGGGGUUGAGCCAAAGCCAGGCCACUAAGUCCUAAUGUCCAGGGUUCCCCCCAGAAAACUCUCCAGCCUGCCACCUUCCUCUCCUCUCCCAGCACCCCGCCUGCAUGGGGCCCCAUCUGGCACUGCAUGGGCCGCAGGUCCCCGUGUGUCCCCGUGUGUCCCCCUUGUAGAAGCCUGUUGUGUCAUGCUGACUGUGUGACUCCUCUUCCCCCACCCCAUACUGAAAGAUUCACAACACCUCUACCUCUGGGCCCACCACCCCAAGACCGGUCAGGCUCCCGCCGCCUCACGUGCAUGUCAGUGUCCUGGACAUCAGAGUUCCACUGCAAGACUGCCCUCUUCCCGUGUGCUACCCCUGCACCUCCCUCCACCCUCUCCUUCUGCUUGUGGAGAUCAGUGUCCUUCUGGAUCAUUGUCCAUAUCUCUCAAAGGAAAAAAAGAAAAAGAUUCCUCAAUGCUUUUCUUUUCAAAAGGGAAAAAAAAAGGAAAAAAAAAACAAUGCCAACAGCCCAGCGUCCGUGAACAACCCGACAGUAACAAAGCAUGCGUGCGGGAUGGAGGAAGAACUUCAGCGAGAGGGAAGCAUCGAGACUCUGAGUAACAGCUCAGGCUCCACCAGUGGCAGCAUCCCAAGAAACUUCGAUGGCUACCGAUCUCCGCUCCCCACCAACGAGAGCCAGCCACUCAGCCUCUUCCCCACCGGCUUCCCGUAGGCACCAGCCACCUGCUUCUGACUGGCUGGCCGAGCUAAAGGGACUGGGAGAAGCACCCCUCCCCACCCCCGCUGGCCUCUGCUCCUACCCUUCUCAGUCUCUGCUCCUUUUUCAUCAACCCCACCUUCCCUAAGCUUAGUGACAAGAGCUACUCAUCCUAUCUGGACGAGGAAAGACCUCCAGAACACCCCGCCGACCUCUGCCACUCCUGUCACUGGGGGCUGUGGCCAAGAGACUGCAGAAACUCGGGUCCCUUCUCUCUUUGCACAUAAUGUCCCGCAUCGGAUCCGCUUUUGUAUUUUUUAACUGUACCCACAGGGGGACUGGAACAGUGGCCAGAUCUUCGGGCCUGGGUGGGGAGAAGUUGAAUGGUCCAGCCAGGCAUUUUGGUGGACAAUGUCAGCUAGCCCACUUCAGGCUGUGAUGCACGCUGCCCCCAGGUAUCCCUGCUCAGUUCCUUCCAAGACAGGAGUGAGCUGAAGCCCAGAGUGAUAGGGAAGGAAGAAGGAAAGAGGCUCCCUUCGCCCCUCACUUCCCUGUUGGCUCAUGGGGAGAACUGUCUGUCUUACCUCCAAGCCCUUGUACCCUGGCCUGUACUGUUCAGUGAAGGAAACUGUGGUUACUAAGGCCAUGUCAAAAGUGCACGUCUUGUCCAAUAAAUCACGCUGCAAUUGGUGUCCAUUCCUGA